UGCGUAGGUGGUAUGGUAAGUUAUCUGUGAAAUCCCUGGGCUUAACCUGGGCAGGUCAGAUAAGACUGCGAUACUUGAGUGAGGGAGAGGGUAGUGGAAUUUCCGGUGUAGCGGUGAAAUGCGUAGAGAUCGGAAGGAACACCAGUGGCGAAGGCGGCUACCUGGCCUAACACUGACACUGAAGCACGAAAGCGUGGGGAGCAAACAGGAUUAGAUACCCUGGUAGUCCACGCUGUAAACGAUGUCAACUAGCUGUUGGUCAUAUGAAUGUGAUUAGUGGCGCAGCAAACGCGAUAAGUUGACCGCCUGGGGAGUACGGUCGCAAGAUUAAA
rnacentral:rRNA from 1 species